rnacentral:rRNA from 1 species
CAGUCGCCGCGGUAAUACGUAGGUGGCGAGCGUUGUCCGGAUUUAUUGGGCGUAAAGGGAGUGUAGGCGGUCUUUUAAGUCUGAUGUGAAAGCCCACGGCUCAACCGUGGAGGGUCAUUGGAAACUGGGAGACUUGAGUGCAGAAGAGGAGAGCGGAAUUCCAUGUGUAGCGGUGAAAUGCGUAGAUAUAUGGAGGAACACCAGUGGCGAAGGCGGCUCUCUGGUCUGUAACUGACGCUGAGGCUCGAAAGCGUGGGGAGCAAACAGGAUUAGAGACCCCUGUAGUCCCUGUCUCUUAUAC